rnacentral:rRNA from 1 species
CCUACGGGAGGCAGCAGUGAGGAAUAUUGGUCAAUGGACGAGAGUCUGAACCAGUCAAGUAGCGUGAAGGAUGACUGCCCUAUGGGUUGUAAACUUCUUUUAUAUGGGAAUAAAACGUUCCACGUGUGGGAUUUUGUAUGUACCAUAUGAAUAAGGAUCGGCUAACUCCGUGCCAGCAGCCGCGGUAAUACGGAGGAUCCGAGCGUUAUCCGGAUUUAUUGGGUUUAAAGGGAGCGUAGGUGGAUUGUUAAGUCAGUUGUGAAAGUUUGCGGCUCAACCGUAAAAUUGCAGUUGAAACUGGCAGUCUUGAGUACAGUAGAGGUGGGCGGAAUUCGUGGUGUAGCGGUGAAAUGCUUAGAUAUCACGAAGAACUCCGAUUGCGAAGGCAGUUCACUGGACUGCAACUGACACUGAGGCUCGAAAGUGUGGGUAUCAAACAGGAUUAGAUACCCCUGUAGUC